rnacentral:rRNA from 1 species
UACCCGAGUCGAGCGGCGCACGGGUGAGUAACGCGUGGAUCAUCUGCCUUUGGGUGGGGGAUAACCCGGGGAAACUCGGGCUAAUACCGCAUAAAACCGCGAGGUCAAAGGGGGCCGCAAGGCUCUCGCCGAAAGAGGAGUCCGCGUCCGAUUAGCUAGUUGGCAGGGUAAUGGCCUACCAAGGCGACGAUCGGUAGCCGGCCUGAGAGGGUGAUCGGCCACACUGGAACUGAGACACGGUCCAGACUCCUACGGGAGGCAGCAGUGGGGAAUUUUGCGCAAUGGGCGAAAGCCUGACGCAGCAACGCCGCGUGGAGGAUGAAGGUCUUAGGAUUGUAAAAUUCUUUCACCGGGGACGAUAAUGACGGUACCCGGAGAAGAAGCCCCGGCUAACUUCGUGCCAGCAGCCGCGGUAAUACGAAGGGGGCUAGCGUUGCUCGGAAUUACUGGGCGUAAAGGGAGCGUAGGCGGACAUUUAAGUCAGGGGUGAAAUCCCGGGGCUCAACCUCGGAAUUGCCUUUGAUACUGGGUGUCUUGAGUAUGAGAGAGGUGUGUGGAACUCCGAGUGUAGAGGUGAAAUUCGUAGAUAUUCGGAAGAACACAGUGGCGAAGGCGACACACUGGCUCAUUACUGACGCUGAGGCUCGAAAGCGUGGGGAGCAAACAGGAUUAGAU